rnacentral:rRNA from 1 species
CGGUGUUUAACUGGCGUGAUGUGGGACGUCCUACCGGUGGGCUUAGCCUCGCGAGGGGCGGCCCAACUAAUAUCCCGUCGCGGUGCUCUUUACUGAGUGUCGAGUCGGGCCGGUACGUUUACUUUGAACAAAUUAGAGUGCUUAAAGCAGGCUAUCCUCGCCUGAAUACUGCGUGCAUGGAAUAAUGGAAUAGGACCUCGGUUCUAUUUUGUUGGUUUUCGGAACCCCGAGGUAAUGAUUAAUAGGGACAGAUGGGGGCAUUCGUAUUGCGACGUUAGAGGUGAAAUUCUUGGAUCGUCGCAAGACGGACAGAAGCGAAAGCAUUUGCCAAAAAUGUUUUCAUUAAUCAAGAACGAAAGUUAGAGGUUCGAAGGCGAUCAGAUACCGCCCUAGUUCUAACCAUAAACGAUGCCAGCUAGCGAUCCGCCGAAGUUCCUCCGAUGACUCGGCGGGCAGCUUCCGGGAAACCCAAAGCUUUUGGGUUCCGGGGGAAGUAUGGUUGCAAAGCUGAAACUUAAAGGAAUUGACGGAAGGGCACCACCAGGAGUGGAGCCUGCGGCUUAAUUUGACUCAACACGGGAAACCUCACCAGGCCCAGACACCGGAAGGAUUGACAGAUUGAUAGCUCUUUCUUGAUUCGGUGGGUGGUGGUGCAUGGCCGUUCUUAGUUGGUGGAGCGAUUUGUCUGGUUAAUUCCGAUAACGAACGAGACUCUAGCCUGCUAAAUAGGCGUACCUUAUGGUAUCGCGAAGGCCCCCGGCUUCGGCCGGUGGGUUUUUACUACCAACGUACAAACAAAUCUUCUUAGAGGGACAGGCGG